CGGGGGGGGCAAGCGUUGUUCGGAAUUACUGGGCGUAAAGGGCUCGUAGGCGGCCAACUAAGUCAGACGUGAAAUCCCUCGGCUUAACCGGGGAACUGCGUCUGAUACUGGAUGGCUUGAGAUUGGGAGAGGGAUGCGGAAUUCCAGGUGUAGCGGUGAAAUGCGUAGAUAUCUGGAGGAACACCGGUGGCGAAGGCGGCAUCCUGGACCAACACUGACGCUGAGGAGCGAAAGCCAGGGGAGCAAACGGGAUUAGAUACCCCGGUAGUCCUGGCCCUAAACGAUGAAUGCUUGGUGUGGCGGGUAUCGAUCCCUGCCGUGCCGAAGCUAACGCAUUAAGCAUUCCGCCUGGGGAGUACGGUCGCAAGGCUG
rnacentral:rRNA from 1 species